CGAACAAGAUAAGACGAACAAAAAUCUCCUUUUCUCUACCAAGAAGUGACAGAACGAGCACAUACGGUUACUACACUGCGCCAAGUCGAUGAACACGUAAACGUGAUUACUAUUAAGUCGGCACAAACGAACAGAUACACCGGUACCUACGUGGGUCGCUUCCUGUUGCUACCCGUUUUUUCACUAUCACGUCGACGAACGGAGGAGAAGUAUAAGGUAUGGUCUUUUGUAGGAAGCGGGGAAAUAAAAGAAGUCUCAAAUUUACCUAAAAGAAGAACAACUUCGCGGCGGCGCGGCCGGGGGCGCUUCGCGGCGGCGUGGCCGGUUGACGGGGUUUUCAUGUCUGUCGGCGCCGGCGGAGGACUCGAGACGGAAGGUCCGCCGGUUGUACAGACGGAGGGCUGGAGGCGACGUUAAGCACCGGAGAAGGUGGACGUCCAGCAACAGAGGAUGAUGACGUCCAGCGACGGAGGAGGAAGACAUCUAGCUACCGAUAGAUGAUCCACGCACUCGCACUACAACUUGACUUGCUAUUCGUAGUAGACUUGGUAUACCCCCAAAUUAGUACAUAUCGGUGUCGCUAUCACCUACUCUCAUGCAACGACUCGUGGUGAGCUACCAAUCAUGAUGAUCAUCUAUCAACAACAAUUUUAAGAUAAACAACGACUCGUGGUUAGUAGUUUUGUGGUACCACCAAACUAAACAACAACAAUUUUAAGAUGAAGUUGAAGACAGUGAGAAAACGAAUUAGACGUGAAAGAAAAAAACUUCAACGAAUUGAGAUGUACUACACUUAUCAACUCAUGCAUGAUUCAUGAGGCGCGUUGAGCGAGGGAAAAGAUAAAGGAUACACAACGCUCCCGAUUUGAUGAUGGGAAGAAACAAAGUUUCUGUUUUACCAGUAGUGUUCUAAGGGUUACCUCUUUUAUUUUCUUCUACCACCAAACUAUAGUCCUUCGUUCACGGUCAUGAUAUUGUUCAGGUUGAGUAGUAGCGGGUCUGGUUAUUAUAGCUCAUUUAUUCGUUGAAGCCGUACGGUUACCCUGGAAAAGUCAUUCACGAAACUGAUGUUGACUACCAUCAACCAUAAGACACUGCAACGCGAGUCGCCUUCCUCCCGCUCCUAUAAGUAGAACCGUCAUGUUGACGUGGGCGGUGACGGCAAGUGCUGUUCUCGACGCACGUCCGGUGGGGUACGAGGCGGGAUCUAAAAAAAGUUACUAGUCCGGCGGCAGCAGUACCAAGGACGGGGUGCCGCCAGCAUGACCAAGUACACGUAACAGUAGCCAGAAAAAAGCCAACCUCUGUCCCUCGCCGGGGUCCCUCGGGGAAGCAAUCACCAAGUAACCAUAGAGUUUAUAAUUCCAACUUCCUCGAGGGAAGGCAAGUUACCUAAGUUGUUUUAUUAGGUACGACGGAUGAUCUUGAACGCACACAUGACACCGCACACACGACUACGUACGGACCACAGACUACGCUUUACGCUCGUACAUGUGUUUGAAUUGACUUACUAUAGGUCAUUCACUUGAGUUACCGGAGGACAUAGACUUGCCAUCCCCUCUACGUAGUACAUGUUUUUUUACACUGUCUCUUGAACCACGGCUCCUUACCUCGCGUUCAUGCCUACCACGAAGGUAUUAGAAUCCGCUCGAACGCUUAGACAUCGUGGGACCACUAAAAUCAUCACGAUAAUCAGUACCUCACUUGUACCUGUCUACUUACGCAGCGAUUUGUCCCGAAGGCUUAAACGUAAUAGUGGUACGAAAAAGGUAAGCAUAAGUCCAACGUUUUUACAAGAACAUCAGCUAGCUAGAUAGGUCACCUAAGUCAGGUCUACGAUCGAAUAAGAACCCUUCAGAACUAAACCUCCUUUUUUAGUACAACUGAUCGACAACAAUACGGAGUUUCGUCUC
rnacentral:rRNA from 1 species